GUCGAGCGGUAGAGAGGUGCUUGCACCUCUUGAGAGCGGCGGACGGGUGAGUAAUACCUAGGAAUCUGCCUGAUAGUGGGGGAUAACGUUCGGAAACGGACGCUAAUACCGCAUACGUCCUACGGGAGAAAGCAGGGGACCUUCGGGCCUUGCGCUAUCAGAUGAGCCUAGGUCGGAUUAGCUAGUUGGUGAGGUAAUGGCUCACCAAGGCUACGAUCCGUAACUGGUCUGAGAGGAUGAUCAGUCACACUGGAACUGAGACACGGUCCAGACUCCUACGGGAGGCAGCAGUGGGGAAUAUUGGACAAUGGGCGAAAGCCUGAUCCAGCCAUGCCGCGUGUGUGAAGAAGGUCUUCGGAUUGUAAAGCACUUUAAGUUGGGAGGAAGGGCAUUAACCUAAUACGUUAGUGCUUUGACGUUACCGACAGAAUAAGCACCGGCUAACUCUGUGCCAGCAGCCGCGGUAAUACAGAGGGUGCAAGC
rnacentral:rRNA from 1 species